rnacentral:rRNA from 1 species
CCUACGGGAGGCUGCAGUAGGGAAUCUUCCACAAUGGGCGAAAGCCUGAUGGAGCAACGCCGCGUGGGUGAAGAAGGUCUUCGGAUCGUAAAACACUGUUGUUAGAGAAGAAAGUGCGUGAGAGUAACUGUUCACGUUUCGACGGUAUCUAACCAGAAAGCCACGGCUAACUACGUGCCAGCAGCCGCGGUAAUACGUAGGUGGCAAGCGUUAUCCGGAUUUAUUGGGCGUAAGGGGAACGCAGGCGGUCUUUUAAGUCUGAUGUGAAAGCCUUCGGCUUAACCGGAGUAGUGCAUGGGAAACUGGGAGACUUGAGUGCAGAAGAGGAGAGUGGAACUCCAUGUGUAGCGGUGAAAUGCGUAGAUAUAUGGAAGAACACCAGUGGCGAAAGCGGCUCUCUGGUCUGUAACUGACGCUGAGGUUCGAAAGCGUGGGUAGCAAACAGGAUUAGAUACCCUGGUAGUC